rnacentral:rRNA from 1 species
AUAAUACUCCAUAGAUUAGAGAUACUGGAAUGUUCUUUAGUCAAAAGUUCUGGCGCCUUAGGAUGGAUCUGCGGUCGAUUAGGUUGUUGUUGGGGUAACGGCCCAACAAGCCUGUAAUCGAUACGGGUUGUGGGAGCAAGAGCCCGGAGAUGGAAUCUGAGACAAGAUUCCAGGCCCUACGGGGCGCAGCAGGCGCGAAAACUUUACAAUGCAGGAAACUGUGAUAAGGGAACCCCGAGUGCCCGUAUACGCGGGCUGUCCAGGUGUUUAAAAGUCAUCUGAAGAAAGGGCCGGGCAAGACCGGUGCCAGCCGCCGCGGUAAUACCGGCGGCUCGAGUGGUGGCCACUAUUAUUGGGCUUAAAGCGUCCGUAGCUGGACUGAUAAGUCUCCUGGGAAAUCCGCCGGCUCAACCGGCGGGCGUCUAAGGGAUACUGUUGGUCUAGGGACCGGGAGAGGUGAGAGGUACUCCGGGGGUAGGAGUGAAAUCCUGUAAUCCCCGGGGGACCACCGAUGGCGAAGGCAUCUCACCAGAACGGCUCCGACAGUGAGGGACGAAAGCUGGGGGAGCAAACCGGAUUAGAUACCCGGGUAGUCCCAGCCGUAAACUAUGCGCGUUAGGUGU